GACGAACGCUGGCGGCGUGCUUAACACAUGCAAGUCGAACGGAAAGGCCCUGCUUGCAGGGUCCUCGAGUGGCGAACGGGUGAGUAACACGUGGGUGAUCUGCCCUGCACUUCGGGAUAAGCCUGGGAAACUGGGUCCAAUACCGGAUAGGAGCCAUUUUUAGUGUGAUGGUUGGAAAGUUUUUUCGGUGUAGGAUGAGCUCGCGGCCUAUCAGCUUGUUGGGGGGGUAAUGGCCUACCAAGGCGGCGACGGGUAGCCGGCCUGGGAGGGUGGACGGCCACCUUGGGACUGAGAUACGGCCCAGACUCCUACGGGAGGCAGAAGUGGGGAAUAUUGCACAAUGGGCGCAAGCCUGAUGCAGCGACGCCGCGUGGGGGAUGACGGCCUUCGGGUUGUAAACUCCUUUCGCUAGGGACGAAGCUUUUUGUGACGGUACCUAGAUAAGAAGCACCGGCUAACUACGUG
rnacentral:rRNA from 1 species